rnacentral:rRNA from 1 species
AUUGAACGCUGGCGGCAUGCUUUACACAUGCAAGUCGAACGGUAACAGGGAGCUUGCUCCGCUGACGAGUGGCGAACGGGUGAGUAUUGCGUCGGAACGUGCCGAGUAGUGGGGGAUAACGCAUCGAAAGGUGUGCUAAUACCGCAUACGUACUGAGGUAGAAAGUGGGGGACCUUCGGGCCUCACGCUAUUCGAGCGGCCGACGUCUGAUUAGCUAGUUGGUGAGGUAAAGGCUCACCAAGGCGACGAUCAGUAGCGGGUCUGAGAGGAUGAUCCGCCACACUGGGACUGAGACACGGCCCAGACUCCUACGGGAGGCAGCAGUGGGGAAUUUUGGACAAUGGGCGCAAGCCUGAUCCAGCCAUGCCGCGUGUCUGAAGAAGGCCUUCGGGUUGUAAAGGACUUUUGUCCGGGAGCAAAUGCCUGGUGUUAAUAGCACUGGGAGCUGAGAGUACCGGAAGAAUAAGCACCGGCUAACUACGUGCCAGCAGCCGCAGUAAGAC